rnacentral:snRNA from 1 species
GUGCCUUAAACUAAUGAGUAAGGAAAAUAUAAAGCUUUGGUAACGCUUAGCUUAGUACGCGCGUUAAAAAAAACCCGCAAAGAUCGUAUUUUG